rnacentral:rRNA from 1 species
UUCCGGUUGAUCCUGCCGGACCUGACUGCUAUCGGAUUGAUACUAAGCCAUGCGAGUCAUUGUAGCAAUGCAAGGCAGACGGCUCAGUAACGCGUAGUCAACCUACCCUACGGACGGGAAUAAUCUCGGGAAACUGAGGCUAAUUCCAGAUAGAACACUAUGCCUGGAACGGUUUGUGUUCCAAAUGAUUUAUCGCCAUAGGAUGGGACUGCGGCCUAUCAGUUUGUUGGUGAGGUAAUGGCCCACCAAGACUAUUACAGGUACGGGCUCUGAGAGGAGUAGCCCGGAGAUGGGUACUGAGACACGGACCCAGGCCCUAUGGGGCGCAGCAGGCGAGAAAACUUUGCAAUGUGCGAAAGCACGACAAGGUUAAUCCGAGUGGUUCCUGCUAAAGGAACCUUUUGACGGUCCUAAAAACACCGUUGAAUAAGGGGUGGGCAAGUUCUGGUGUCAGCCGCCGCGGUAAAACCAGCACCUCAAGUGGUCAGGAUGAUUAUUGGGCCUAAAGCAUCCGUAGCCGGCUCUGUUAGUUUUCGGUUAAAUCUGUACGCUCAACGUACAGGCUGCCGGGAAUACUACAGAGCUAGGGAGUGGGAGAGGUAGACGGUACUUGGUAGGAAGGGGUAAAAUCCUUUGAUCUAUUGAUGACCACCUGUGGCGAAGGCGGUCUACUAGAACACGUCCGAUGGUGAGGGAUGAAAGCUGGGGGAGCAAACCGGAUUAGAUACCCGGGUAGUCCCAGCUGUAAACCAUGCAAACUCAAUGAUGCACUGGCUUGAAGCCAAUGCAGUGUUGCAGGGAAGCCGUUAAGUUUGCCGCCUGGGAAGUACGUACGCAAGUAUGAAACUUAAAGGAAUUGGCGGGGGAGCACCACAAGGGGUGAAGCCUGCGGUUCAUUGGAGUCAACGCCG